rnacentral:snoRNA from 1 species
GGAUGUUUGCCAACACUCUGGUGCCAAAUCAUUGGAUUGUUGUUUUUAAGAAUGUAUUUUCUUGUUGCAAUUUAAUUUAAUGCCAUAUUUGGUUCCUAUUUUGGUGCAAACUAGAACGGUAAAAGCUGACUACUCACCAGUAUAUCCAACAUUUUGAUGGAUAUACUUGGUCCAUUUCAUUAGCUUACAU